AUACACUUUUGUGUAUUAGAGUGUUUCUAACCAAGUUUAAGAACAAUCAUACUGUUUUAUGUAAGAUUAAAGAGAUUAAGAGAAUAAGUAGAGAGAGAAUACUCAAAACUCCAUUAAUUAAUAACUGAUGAGGUUUACAAGUAUAUAUAGAGAGAGCAACAAGGGUUUUCGAAAUGUAUAAGCAUGUGGAGUCAAAGGACAGACUGGAACUCCUUUUGAAUCACUUGGCUGUGCUUUCUCACAUGCUUGCACUAGUGUAAAAGCAUCCUCUCCUUUCCAGCAUCAUACAGGCUGUCAAAGUGAUCCCUUAUCCUUCCUUAUCCUCUUCCAACGUCUCACUUAGGAUAAGAAAGGAUUAACCUCAGUUAGACUCCAAUUUAACCCAUCCGGGUAACUUCUCUUCUUCUCACUUUAGUUACCACAGUAAAACUAAAGUUACUGUGGUAAAUCCUAAAGUUACUGACUAACCCAAUACUCUUCCUCUAUCAAUGUAUCCACUCCUCAUCUCCUCAUCUCAACACUCCCCCUCAAGCUUGACCAUGUAGAACA
rnacentral:lncRNA from 1 species